rnacentral:rRNA from 1 species
UCCUACGGGGCGCAGCAGUGAGGAACAUUGGUCAAUGGGCGGGAGCCUGAACCAGCCAAGUCGCGUGAGGGAAGACGGUCCUAUGGAUUGUAAACCUCUUUAGGCGGGGAGCAAUGCCGGGCACGCGUGCCCGGAGGGAGAGUACCCGCAGAAUAAGCAUCGGCUAACUCCGUGCCAGCAGCCGCGGUAAUACGGAGGAUGCGAGCGUUAUCCGGAUUUAUUGGGUUUAAAGGGUGCGUAGGCGGAUUUUUAAGUCAGCGGUAAAAUGUCCGGGCUCAACCCGGUCCGGCCGUUGAAACUGGGGU